UACGAAGGGUGCAAACGUUGCUCGGAAUUAUUGGGCGUAAAGCGCACGUAGGCGGCUUUGCAAGUCGGAUGUGAAACCCCUCGGCUUAACCAAGGAAGUGCAUCCGAAACUGCAGAGCUUGAGUACUUAAGAGGAUCGCGGAAUUCCCGGUGUAGAGGUGAAAUUCGUAGAUAUCGGGAGGAACACCAGUGGCGAAGGCGGCGAUCUGGGAAGAUACUGACGCUGAGGUGCGAAAGCGUGGGGAGCAAACAGG
rnacentral:rRNA from 1 species